rnacentral:rRNA from 1 species
ACGUAGUAAGACUAGCAGGAUCCCCUAGUAACUGCGAGUGAAGCGGGAAAAGCUCAAAUUUAAAAUCUGGCGGUCUCUGGCCGUCCGAGUUGUAAUCUAGAGAAGUAAUGCCCGUGCUGGACCGUGUAUAAGUCUCCUGGGAUGGGGCGUCAUAGAGGGUGAGAAUCCCGUCUUUGACACGGACUACCAGUGCAUUGUGGUAUGCUCUCAAAGAGUCGAGUUGUUUGGGAAUGCAGCUCAAAAUGGGUGGUAAAUUCCAUCUAAAGCUAAAUAUUGGCGAGAGACCGAUAGCGAACAAGUACCGUGAGGGAAAGAUGAAAAGAACUUUGGAAAGAGAGUUAAACAGUACGUGAAAUUGCUGAAAGGGAAACGCUUGAAGUCAGUCGCGUUGGCCGGGGAUCAGCCUUGCUUUUGCAUGGUGUACUUUCUGGUUGACGGGUCAGCAUCAAUUUUGACCGCUGGAAAAAGACCUGGGGAAUGUGGCAGCUUCGGCUGUGUUAUAGCCCCUAGUCGCAUACAGUGGUUGGGAUUGAGGAACUCAGCACGCCGCAAGGCCGGGUUUCGACCACGUUCGUGCUUAGGAUGCUGGCAUAAUGGCUUUAAGCGACCCGUCUUGAAACACGGACCAAGGAGUCUAACAUGCCUGCGAGUAUUUGGGUGGAAAACCCAAGUGCGUAAUGAAAGUGAAAGUUGAGAUCCCUGUCGUGGGGAGCAUCGACGCCCGGACCAGAACUUUUGGGACGGAUCCGCGGUGGAGCAUGUAUGUUGGGACCCGAAAGAUGGUGAACUAUGCCUGAAUAGGGUGAAGCCAGAGGAAACUCUGGUGGAGGCUCGUAGCGAUUCUGACGUGCAAAUCGAUCGUCAAAUUUGGGUAUAGGGGCGAAAGACUAAUCGAACCAUCUAGUAGCUGGUUCCUGCGAUUUCCC